UUUUAUCUUAUACUUUAAGCUUUCCGAAAGUUAUGCUAAGGAACUUCCUUCUCAUUUUCAAGAUAACAUCAGAGUAAGUUCUAGUUACCAUGUCGGUCCCUUGUUUCUCUUGCCUUUCUUUAGUUGUAUAUUUCUCCUUUUAUUGCUUAAUUGUUUAAUCAUUUCUUCUACAUAUUUGUCUUUUUUUCAUUUCAACUUGUUCCAGAGUUCUAUCUCUUGUAACGUUCAUUUCUCUGUUGGUAUAUGUAAUGACCCGACUGGUCGUUUUGAGAGUCUUAGCCCCGAACCCUUAUUUAUUACCCCCUCUAUUUUAUUUUAUGGUUACGUGACUUGCUGGGGGAUUUGUUUUUAGUUUUGGAGUGAAAUGGGACACAUAGUCCCUAAAUUGGGAGUUAAGUUCUAGGAAUUGACCGUAGUUCGAAUUGUGUGAAGACGACUCCAGAAUGGAGUUUCGACGGUUCCAAUAGCUCCGUAGGGUAAUUUUGGUCUUAGAAUUGUGUUCGGAUGUUGAAUUGGAGGUCCGUUGGUCAUUUUAGCGUCAAUUGGCGAAAGUUGGAAAAUUGGAUAAUUUUUGGGAAGUUGACCGGGAGUGGAAUUUUUUAUAUCGGGGUCGUUUUACGAUUUCAGAAGUUAGAGUAGGUCUGUAAUGUCAAUUAUGAGUUGUGUGCAAAAUUUGAGGUCAACCGGACUUGAUUUGAUAGGUUUCAGCAUCAGAUGUAGAAGUUUAAUGUUUUGAAGUUAUUAGGCUUUAAUCGAUGCGCAAUUCAUGCUUUUAUCAUUGUUUGAUAUGAUUUAAGGUCUCAACUAAAUUUGUAUGAUAUUUUAAGACUGGUUGGUAUAUUUGGUCGAGGUCCCGGGGGCCUCGGGUGAUUUCCGGAUGGUUAACGGAUCAAUUUGGACUUAUGAGAAUGGCUUAAGUGCACUAGUGCUGGUGUAAUUGCACCUGCGCAAGAUUGACAGCUGGUGCGAGCUCGUAGAAGCGAGCAUUUGGGCGCAUAUGCGGGGCUAGAGAAAAUGGCAUGUGGUCGGAGGUGCAGUGUGAAGGCCGUAGAAGCGGAGUCGCUUCACUGGAAGAGUGACCGCAGAAGAGGAGUUGAGCAAGGAAGCUGGGACCAUAGAAGCGUCUUGGAGGCUCGCAGAAGCGAGUCUGUAGAAGUGAGUCCACAGAAGCGGAGUGAGGGGACACGGGAGCAGAAGAAUCCACAGAUGCGAGUGAGUGGUCGCUUCUGUGACGCCGCAUAAGCGGUUAAGCUUUCGCAGAAGCGGAAGUGCUGGCAGAAUACUUAAAUACAAGGGUUCACGAUUUUGCUUCAUUUUAAACAUUUUGAGCUCGGGCCUUGGUGAUUGUUUAGAGAAUUUUCGAGGGAUUUCUUGGGGUAAGUCUCUUGUACUCAUUUUUUAUCAAUAAUCUUGUUGCUAUUUUUGAUCAAUUUCGCCCUAGAGAGGGAGGUCAGGCCAGAUAUUAUGCCCUUCCUGCUAGGACGGAGGCAGUUGUAUCUGAUUCUGUCAUCACAAGUAUUGUUGUAGUCUGGCAUAGAGAUGCAUCAGCCUUAUUUGAUCCAUGUUCCACUUAUUCCUAUGUGUCAUCUUAUUUUGCUUCGUAUUUGGGUGUAUUCCAUGAUUCUCUGAGCUAACAUGUCUAUGUGUCUACACAGGUGGGUGAUUCUAUUGUUGUUGACCGUGUGUAUCGGUUGUGUUUGAUUGUUCUUAGUGAUUUAUUGACCAUAGACAAUUUAUUAUUGCUCAGUAUGGUGGCUUUUGAUGUUAUUUUGGGCAUGGACUGGUUGUCGCCCUAUCACACUAUCCUUGAUUGCCACGCCAAGAUGGUGACGUUAGCUAUGCCAGGUCUACCGUGGCUAGAGUAAAGAGGUACCUUAGAUCAUGUUCCUAGCAGGGUUGUCUUAUUUCUUAAGGCUCGGCGAAUGGUUGAGAAGGGGUGUGAUGUGUAUCUGGCAUAUGUGAGGGAUGUUAGUGCUGAUACUCUUACCGUCGAGUUAGUUUCGGUAGUGAGGGACUAUCCAGAUAUAUUUCCGACGGAUCUUUCGGGCAUGCCGCCCGACAGAGAUAUCGACUUUGGCAUUGAUUUGUUACCGGGCACGCAACCUAUUUAUAUCCCACCUUAUCGUAUGGCAGUAGAGUUGAAAGAAUUAAAGGAACAGUUGCAAGAGUUGCUUAAUAAGGGCUUUAUUCGGCCCACUGUGUUGCCUUGCGGUGCUCCUGUCUUGUUUGUAAAGAAGAAGGAUGGUUCUAUGUGAAUGUGUAUUGAUUAUCGCCGGCUGAACAAUGUUGCAGUGAAGAACAAGUAUCCAUUGCCCCGUAUUGAUGACCUAUUUGAUCAGCUUAAAUGUGCCAGAGUUUUUUCUAAGAUCGACUUGCGUUCAGGCUAUCAUCAGUUGAAGAUUCGAGAGCCAGAUAUCCCGAAGACUGCUUUCAGGACUCGGUAUGGUCAUUACGAGUUCCUUGUGAUGUCUUUUGGGCUGACCAACGCCCCGGCAACAUUCAUGCACUUGAUGAACAGUGUAUUUUAUCCCUAUCUUGACUCUUUCAUCAUUGUGUUUAUUGACGACAUUCUGGUGUACUCCCGGAGUCGGGAGGAUCAUGAACAGCACACGAGGACUGUGCUUUAGACCUUGAGGGAAAAGAAGUUAUAUGCAAAAUUUUCGAAGUGUGAGUUCUGGCUAGAUUCAGUGGCAUUUUUGGGUCAUGUGGUAUAGAGUGAGGGGAUCAAGGUAUAUCCGAAGAAGAUUGAAGCAGUGCAGAGUUGGCCUAGACCAUCCUCAGCUACAGAGAUCCGAAGUUUUCUUGGCUUGGCGGGGUAUUACCGUCGAUUUGUAGAGGGUUUCUCGUCUGUUGCAGCACCUAUGACCAGAUUGACCCAGAAGAUUGCUCCAUUCAGGUGGACCGAGGAGUGUGAGGAGAUCUUUUAAAAGCUCAAGACUGCUUUGACUACAGCCCCAGCAUUGGUGUUGCCUACUAGUUCGGGGCCUUAUAUGGUGUAUUGUGACACGUCGGGCAUUAGUCUCGGCGCAGUGUUGAUGCAGGAUGGUAGGGUGAUUGCCUUUGCGUCUAGACAGCUGAAGGUGCAUGAGAAGAAUUAUCCGGUCCACGACUUCGAGUUAGCAUCUAUUGUUCAUGCCUUGAAGAUAUGGCGGCACUAUUUUUAUGGUGUCCCUUGUGAGGUCUUCACCAAUCAUCGGAGUCUACAUUAUUUAUUUAAACAGAAGGAUCUUAACUUGUGGCAGCGAAGAUGGUUGGAGCUGCUUAAGGAUUAUGAUAUCAUCAUUCUCUAUCAUCCCAGGAAGGCCAAUGUGGUGGCCAAUGCCUUGAGUCGCAAGGCGGAGAUUUUGGGCAGUUUAGCAUAUCUACCGGUAGCAGAGAGGACUUUAGCCUUGGAUGUUCAGGCCUUGGCCAACCAGUUUAUCAGAUUGGAUAUUUCCGAGCCGAGCAGAAUAUUGGCUUGCUUGGUUUCUCGAUCUUCUCUUUAUGAUCAUAUCAGAGAGCGUCAGUAUGAUGACCCCCAUUUUCUUGUCCUUAAAGACACGGUUCAGCACAACGAUGCCAAGGAGAUCACCAUUGGAGAUGACGGUGUAUUACAGAUGCAGGGCAUGCUAUGUGUGCCCAAUGUAGAUGGAUUACGUGAGUUGAUUCUCCAGGAGGAUCACAGUUUGCGGUACUCCAUUUAUCCAGGUGCCGUGAAGAUGUAUCAGGACUUGAGGUAGCACUAUUAGUGGAGGCAGAUGAAGAAGUACAUAGUGGAAUAUGUAGCCCGGUGCCUAAAUUGUUAAUAGGAGAAGUAUUAGCAUCAACGACCGAGUGGAUUGCUUCAGAAGUUAGAGAUUUCAUAGUGAAAAUGGGAGCGAAUCACUAUGGAUUUCGUUGGGCUCCCACGGACUCAGAGGGAGUUUGAUACAGUUUGGGUAAUUAUGGAUAGAUUGACCAAGUCAGCUCAUUUUAUUCCUGUGGUUACUACUUACUCUUCGGAGUAGUUGGCUCAGGUUUACUUUCGCGAGAUUGUCAGGCUUCAUGGCCUACCAGUAUCUAUCAUCUAUGAUCGGGGUACGUAGUUUACAUUGCGGUUCUGGAGAGCCGUAUAGUAUGAGUUGGGUACUCGGGUGGAGUUGAAUACAACAUUUCACCCUCAGACGGACGGACAAUCUGAGCGCACUAUUCAGAUAUGGGGGGGCUUGGUAUCAGUUCUUGCCACUGACGGAGUUUGCCUACAACAACAAUUAUCAAUCGAGCAUUCAGAUGGCACCGUAUGAGGCUUUGUAUGGUAGGCGGUGUCGGUCUCCAGUGAGUUUCUUCGAGCCGGGCGAGGCUAGGCUAUUGGGUACAGACUUGGUUCAGGAUGCUUUGGAAAAUGUUAAAUUGAUUCAGGAUCGACUCAGUACAGUCCAGUCCAGACAAAAGAGUUAUGCGUAUCGGAAGGCUCGCGACGUUGCUAUUAUGGUUGGGGAGUGGGUCUUGCUCCGAGUUUCGCCCAUGAAGGGUAUUAUGAGGUUCGGAAAGAAGGUAAAGUUGAUCCCUAGGUAUAUUGGGCCUUUUGAGAUUCUUGAGAGGGUUGGAGAGGUGGCUUACAGACUUGCACUACCACCUAGUCUCACUGCAGUUCAUCCAAUGUUCCAUGUUUCCAUGCUCAGGAAGUAUCACAACGAUCCGUCUCAUGUGUUAGACUUCAGCUCAGUCCACUUGGACAUGGAUCUAUCCUAUGUUGAGGAGCCGGUGGCCAUCUUGGACAGACAUGUCCGAAAGUUGAGGUCAAAGAGCAUCGCAUCAAUGGAGGUGCAGUAGAGGGGUCAUCGGGUAGAGGAAGCGACUUGGGAGACCGAGAAUGAUAUGCGCAAUCGUUAUCCUCAUCUUUUAACCACUUCAGCUAUGUCUCUAUACUCGUUCGAGGACGAAUGUUUGUUUUGGGGGGGGGGGGUGUAAUGACCCAGCUGGUCGUUUUGAGAGUAUUAGCCCCGAACCCCUAUUUAUUGCUCCCUCUAUUACAUUUUGUGGGUAUGUGACUUGCCGGGGGAUUUGUUUUUGGUUUUGGAGUGAAAUGGGAUAGAUAGUCCCUAAAUUUGGAGUUUAAGUUCUAGGAAUUGACCGUAGUUUGAAUUGUGUAAAAACGACUCCGGAAUGGAGUUCUGAAGGUUCCAAUAGCGCUGUAGGGUGAUUUUGGACAUAAGAGCGUGUUCGGGUGUUAAAUUGGAGGUCCGUAGGUCAUUUUAGCGUCAAUUGGUGAAAUUUGGAAAAUUGGAUAAUUUUAGGGAAGUUGAUCGGGAGAGAACUUUUUGAUAUCCGGGUCGGUUUCUGAUUCUGGAAGUUGGAGUAGGUCCAUAAUAUCAAUUAUGAGUUGUGUGCAAAAUUCAAGGUCAUUCGGACUUGAUUUGAUAGGUUUUAGCAUCAGAUGUAGAAGUUUGAAGUUUUAAAGUUUAUUAGGCUUGAAUCGAUGCACAAUUCGUGUUUUUAGCGUUGUUUGUUGUGAUUUAAAGGCUCAACUAAGUUCGUAUGAUAUUUUAGGACUAGUUGGUAUAUUUGGUCGAGGUCCCGAGGGCUUCAGGUGAUUUCCGGAUGGUUAAUAGAUCAAUUUGGACUUGUGAGAAUGGUUGAAGUGCACCAGUUCUGGUGUAAUCGCACCUGCGUAACUUUGACCGCAGGUGCGAGCUCGCAGAGGCGAGCAUUUGUGCGCAAAUGUGGGGCUAGAGGAAAUGGCCUAUGGUCGCAUGUGCGGUGUGAAGGCCGCAGAAGUGGAGUUGGGCAUGGAAGCUGGGACCGCAGAAGCGUCUUGUAAGCUCACUGAAAUGAGUCCGCAGAGGCGGAGUGAGGGGAUGAAGGAGCGGAAGAAGCCACAGAUGCGAGUGAGUGGUCUCUUCUGCGACGCCGCAGAAGCGGAAGUACUGGCAGAACACUUAAAUACAAGGGUUCGCGAUUUUGCUUCAUUUUAAACAUUUUGAGCUCGGGUCUUGGCGAUUUUUGAGAUCAUCUUUGAGGGAUUUCUUGGGGUAAGUCUCUUGUACUCAUUUUUUAUCAAUAAUCUUGUUUCCCCAUUGAUUUUCCCACCUAGUUUGUGUGUAUUUAAGGUGGAAUUUGGGAGUUUGAGGCUAGGGAUUUGGAGAGUUUAAUUUGGGGAUUUGAGUGGCGACUUGGUGUCGGAUUUUAGUAAAAUUUGUAUGGUUGGACUCAUGGUUGAAUGGGUGUUCAUAUUUUUUGACUUUUACCGAUCCCGAGACAUGGGGCCGGGUCGACCUUUUGGGCCGAGUUUUCAAUUUUUUGCUAAAGUCGUAGUUUCAUUAUUUAAAUUAGUUUCUUGUAAAUAUAUUUAUAGUAUAUGAUUGUUUUGGCUAGAUUUGACCCGAUCGGAGUCGGAAUGUCAAGGGAAAGGCAUUCUUAUCGAUUGAUUGAGUGAUAUUUGAGGUAAGUGACUUGUCUAAUCUUGUGUGAGGGAACCUCACCUUAGGAUUUGGUAUUGUUGUAACAAUUUGUGAUAUGUUAGCAUCGUGUACGCAAGGUGACGAGUGCGUACACAUGCUAAAUGUGGAAUUUCCGGUACUUGCUGAGUAGUCUUCUUUUUAAUUCCUUAACUGAGUUGCCUUAGCAUGUGUAGUUGUCAUGUUUAGCCUAGUAUCGCAUGGCUACGUGUCUUAACUUUUACUUGAAAUUUGUGCAACAUACUUGGUGUAAAUUCGUUAUUCCAUAGGUUAUGAGUUUGCAUAUUUACUUUUGGGACUACGAAGUGGUACCUCGGGAGACCCCCCCUGUUGUGUAUUUACUUUUGGGACUACGAGAUGGUACCUCGGGAGAUCCCCCUGUUGCAUAUUUACUUUUGGGACUACAAGGCAGUACCUCUGGAGAUCCCCCUGUUGCAUAUUUACUUUUGGGACUACGAGGCGGUACCUCGGGAGAUCCCUCUGUUGUGUAUUUAUAUUUGGGACUACGAGGCGAUCCCUCGGGAGCGCCCCUGUUGUUUACCUCUAUUUGUGGUGUUGUUACCUUUCUCAAAAUUUCUUGUUGUUCAUUUCUUAGUCAUUUCAUUAUAUUAUUACAUUUUCUGCCUCAUUUCCUUUUAUUCUAGUAGGGCCUUGACCUGACCUCGUCACUACUCUACUGAGGUUAGGCUUGGCACUUACUGGGUACCGUUGUGGUGUACUCAUACUACACUUCUGCACAUCUUUUUGUGCAGAUCGAGGUUCUUCCUACCAGGCCAGAUACUAGUGAGUUGGACCGUACGUGGAGACUUCAAGGUAUAUCUUCCAGCGUCAGCAGACCUCGGAGUCCCAUCUAUCCUUAUUAUGUUAUUUUCCUUAUUCUCUUUAGACUCUGAUGUAUAGAGACACUUAGUAUUUUCUCUUAGAAGCUUGUGACUUAUUUCUACCGAAUUUUGGGAG
rnacentral:lncRNA from 1 species